rnacentral:rRNA from 1 species
GAUGAACGCUGGCGGCGUGCCUAAUACAUGCGAGUCGAGCGAACGGACGAGAAGCUUGCUUCUCUGAUGUUAGCGGCGGACGGGUGAGUAACACGUGGAUAACCUACCUAUAAGACUGGGAUAACUUCGGGAAACCGGAGCUAAUACCGGAUAAUAUUUUGAACCGCAUGGUUCAAAAGUGAAAGACGGUCUUGCUGUCACUUAUAGAUGGAUCCGCGCUGCAUUAGCUAGUUGGUAAGGUAACGGCUUACCAAGGCAACGAUGCAUAGCCGACCUGAGAGGGUGAUCGGCCACACUGGAACUGAGACACGGUCCAGACUCCUACGGGAGGCAGCAGUAGGGAAUCUUCCGCAAUGGGCGAAAGCCUGACGGAGCAACGCCGCGUGAGUGAUGAAGGUCUUCGGAUCGUAAAACUCUGUUAUUAGGGAAGAACAUAUGUGUAAAUAACUGUGCACAUCUUGACGGUACCUAAUCAGAAAGCCACGGCUAACUACGUG